UUUUUAAUAUCUCUAUUAUAUAUUUGACUGUUACACUUUUUUUCUCUUUUAUUCAACUCUAAUAAAAUUUCUUGUUAUCCAACAUUUCGUCUCUCUCUCUCUCUCUCUCUCAUGCUCCGGUGAGUUGAUAAUCAAGAUGAAAAUGGGAGAGGAGACAGAUAAGAUAAAUUUUGAUCCACUGGAAAGGGAUUAGAUUUAUAUGAAAUCAUGGAUGAGAGAAAAUUUAUAGGCAGCAUGGAAAAUAGUGAUAAAUUGUUCAUAUCAACAGAUUCUUGUGAAUAUAAGAAUAGUGAACUAGUUGGAAAACAAAUUGAAAGCUUUGGGAGUAGUGGUGGUUCAUUGGAAAUCAAACCUAUGGGGAUUGAAGAUGGUUUAGAGCUCCGUGGGGAAGGCAGUUUGGAAGGAUCAAGCUUGCAAUCUGGUAUAGCUGCCGGUGGGGCUGAGUGUGUAAGAUGUUCGGAUGAAAGUGAGACGUCGUCAAAGUACGACCAUUCAGAUGGCGAGGACUCGAUGUUUGGUGGAAGCACUAAUGAUGAGAAGAACUUUGAUUUUUAUUAUAGAAGAGAGGUACAGUGCUCUCAUGAAGAAAAUGACCAGAAUGAAAAUAAGUUGGUUAUGAGUUCCGCAGUGGCGUUUGGUUCAGAUGAUUGGGAUGAUUUCCUGCAGGAAAAUGGAGAGUUUACUCUCUCUUCAAUGGUGCAUGAAGAAUUUCAACCUGAAAACUCGCCUAAUAUUAGAAGUGAAAAUGGAUGUUUGAAUACUGCUAAUACUGCCAUCGUUGAGUAUUCUAGUGUUGGUUUAGGAAUGCCUAAAGAAGAUGGCCUUCCAAGUAAUCACAUCCAAGCUGGUGAUGAAUUAACCAACUACCCUACUACCUGUUCUGUCGAGCCUUCGAGUCCUUUGAACAAUGGUAAAUCUAAGCAUGUCGAAAACGACAAAGCCAUGCUUAUUACAAACAAUCAAAUCCAACACAUUAAUGAAUCAGCAAAGUUCCUUGAGCAGUCUUCUGCUUCCAAAUUGUGUAAACAGGACAAAAGUCCGCAUAUACAGCUAGAAGAAGUUCCUAUGAAAGAGGAUCUAAAAAUUGAAGAUGAUGAAUGGGAAGUGAAACAUCAAGAUGCCUAUAAUGAGGAAGUAAUUCAUAUCCAUGAUGGUCUUGUUUCCGAAAAAGUGGAGCUAAAUCACAAAAGCUUAUUCUUGGACCAUCUAUCUCAUCUUGAUAAAAACGAAUAUCAUUCAUCUGCAGAACCUUUUAAAGAUGUGAAGUUAGAACCAUCCACAGAUCAAAGCUCAUCUACAUCAUUAGCAUCAGUGGCUAAUGAUCAUACAAAUGCUAAAAGUACUUCCCUUUCAGUUGGCUGCUCUGAAGAUCAUCUUGCAUCUACUAAGACACAAAAUCUUGAGUUAAAUGAAUUAUAUGACGAGCUUGUUCAUGAUAUGGAGGAGAUAUUACUUGAAUCUGGUGAAUCUCUUGGAUACAAUUUUGGUAACAAGAUUUAUCAAUCAUAUAUACCACUUCCUUCAAGAGAUGGAGGUUCUACUGCUUCUACUUCUGUUACUCAUGACGCUUAUGCUGUAAUUCAACACCCUCUGAGAUUUGACAGGGUGGAGGUCAUUGGUACAAGACAGAAGAAAGGGGAUGUUUCACUUAGUGAGAGGUUAGUUGGAGUAAGAGAAUAUACUGUAUACAGAAUAAGAGUGUGGAGUGGCGAGGAUAAUUGGGAGGUUGAAAAACGAUAUCGUGAUUUUGCUGCUCUCUAUCGGCGGUUGAAGAAAUUAUUUGCAGAUCAGGGCAGGAUUCUUCCUCCUGUCUGGUCCUCUGUUGAACAAGAAUCACAGAAGAUUUUCAGAAGUGCUUCUCCAGAUGUUAUUGCUGAUCGAAGUGUUCUUAUUCAAGAGUGUUUAAAUUCCCUUCUCCAGUCGAGGUUUCCUACAGGUGCCCUCAAUGCUGUAUUUUGUUUCUUAUCUCUGUCUAAGGAUCUUCCCAGUUCUCCAACUCGUGAUACAAAUGUACUUCAGUCUCCAUCUACUUCAAGAAGUAGAAUCAGAGAGAAUGGUUCCAGCUUGGGAAAGACUAUUUCCCUCAUUGUAAAUAAAAGGCCUUAUAAAUCGCAUAAACAGUUACUAGAUGAACAACACUAUUCUUGUGCUGGUUGCUACAAAAAUUUUGAUGAUGGGAAGACUCGAAUACAGGAACUUGUGCAGACUCUGGGGUGGGGAAAACCUCGGUUUUGUGAAUAUAGUGGUCAGUUGUGCUGCUCUUCAUGCCAUACAAAUGAUAUGGCCAUCUUGCCUGCAAGGAUUCUGCAUCUUUGGGACUUUAAUCAAUACCCAGUUUCUCAGCUGGCUAAAUCUUAUCUGGACUCCAUACACGACCAGCCAAUGCUUUGUGUCAGUGCCGUCAAUCCUUUGCUGUUCUCGAAGGUCCCUGCUCUGCAGCAUGUCACCGAUAUCAGAAAAAGGAUAGGAACUAUGCUUCCAUUUGUUCGUUGCCCUUUCCGGAGGUCCAUCUACAAGGGAGUCGGAUCUAGAAGAUAUCUUCUUGAGAGCAAUGACUUCUUUUCUCUUAGGGAUCUCGUCGAUCUUUCCAAGGGAGUCUUUGCAGCGUUACCAGUUAUGGUCGAGACUAUAUCAAGAAAAAUUCUGGAGCAUAUAGCUGAGCAGUGCCUUAUAUGUUGUGAUGUGGGUAUCCCCUGUAAUGCUCGGCAAGCUUGUGAUGACCCCUCUUCCCUCAUUUUUCCUUUCCAGGAAGGAGAAAUUGAAAGAUGCAAGUCUUGUCAAUCAGUUUUUCACAGGCAUUGCUUUAAGAGGAUAUCAAGUUGCCCUUGUGGUACUCAAUUUCAGCCGGAGCAAGAGGGCAAUACAAAUAGGGGCAGCCUGAGAGACAACAGUGUGAAGGAUCUUUCCUUGGACAUGCCAGGAAAGAGAGCAGACUUCAGUAUGAGGCUUUUUUCUGGAUUAUUCUCGAAGGUAAGGUCACUGAAGUCUAGCGAGGGUGGAGAACAGCGGCCUGAAGAUAAGAAUACUGUUAUUGUAAUGGGUACACUGCCAAUGACCAACCUCUGAAUGCCUGUACAUAUGUAGAGCUUUGUUUUUAAGGUUCCAAGAAAUCAUGUGAAUUGAAGCUUGUACCUCAGUUAAGAUCUGGAGAAUGUGGUGGUUGCACCAAAUUAUAGGCAAAGGCCUGAUAUGGAUGGUCCGAUUAUCCGAAUUAUAUAGUGACAUCAUCCAGCGAUAGUGAGGAAAUACCUAAUGCGGAGGAAAGUGACGAUGAGCAAAGUGACGAUGAGAUUGAGGUUGGAAUUAAUCCUCAACAUCAAGUAGAACUGUUGCAAGACAUGAUGGACAGUCCGGCACACGAGGAGGAACUGAAUUCACAGCAACCAUUUGAAUAGCAAGAGUUGACUCCGGUUCAGCCGCAAAGCCAAUUUCAACAGCAAGAGUCGACGCCGAUUCAGUGGCAUUCCGAUGAGAUCCCUUAUCUUGAUCAUCUUCAAGAUCGCCCAGAUGCCUUUGUCUUUACUAUGGAUGAUGAUCAUAUUCGGCGAAGUUUGUGGAAAGAGCCAGUGGAUCUUUUAAAACAAAAGGCUCAUAUUGAAAAAGGGAUGAUUUUCAGCUCCAAAAAAUCAUUGCAAAGGGUUGUUAAGAUUUAUUGCAUCCAGGGGAUGAGGGAGUUUAAAGUUGACGAUUCCACACGAAAACUUUGGCGAUUGGUUUGCAAGCGAAAAUAUCAAGACUGCGAAUGGAUGCUUCGUGGUAAGGAAACUGCUGAAAAGAUGUGGACUAUUUCAAAGUUCUACACAAAGCACACUUGUGAUAUGGGUGACCUCCCAGAUGAUCAUUGCAAUCUAGAUACUAAUUUGAUUGCGCGUGUA